rnacentral:lncRNA from 1 species
CUCGCCUGCAGAGGACUCUGCUCUCCGUUUAUUUGAUUGAAUUUUGGGUUUUGAUGGCCAAAGUUUAAGACUUUGCAAGAGCAAGAUCUGGUUUUUAUUGUUGUCGCUCUUUGAGGAGGUGAUACAGCUAAGGAUUUUGGCUUUGACAAUAACGAUGUGAUUAAAGCCAUUGGGUCUCAAUUGGUGGGGUUCUCAAGAAAAAAUUGGGUUUUUGUUGGGUUUUAUAAAAGUUGUGGUUGGUUUGUCCUUUUCUUUUUGAAAGAUGGUUUAUUUAUUGAACCGAUUACUUAGAAUGCCGUAACAACUCUUGAACCAGAGUGGUAGAAGACCUCUAUUAACGUAAGAAGACUAGAUUUGGUGAGAAGGUUGGUUUGUACUUAAAACGAUAAAAUUUGAAGAUUUUGAGUUAUUGUCAAAGCACGAAGUAUAUAAAGCGGGAAAAAGCGUGGAUUAUGGAAAGAGAAAGUGAGCUAACGAAAAGGACAAAGGAGAUAAAAGCUGAUAAGGUGAUCUUGUUUAGAUGGGAAGAUGUGAGGUGAAAUGAGACUCAGAUAUUCUUUUGCUAGGAUUUUGUUUUAGCCCAUUAAUUUUCUAAAUUAUCUACUUGGAUGGAUAGAUAUUUUCUUUUCUCUUUCCUUUUUAUAGGAGUUCUUUCUCUAGUGCCCUUUUGUCUGAUUCUAUCCUUUCUUGCCUGGUUGACAGAUAAGGCUACUCUCUCGCUAGGAAGUUAAAGCAGCAGAAAAACCGGUGAGAGAAAUGGCAGCAACCGCGUCAAUCUUUACGUCUCCGACUCAACCCUUUUCGGCCACGCGGUCGGUGAGAGGUACAAGUGCCAAGCCAUCUAUUUCAAAGCCGAGUAGGGAGUCUCUUUAGACCUGCUUUUUUAACACCCAGUUAGGGAUCUUUGAUUGCUUACAUCGUUUUUCACGUUUUUGGUUGGGGAUUUGAGUUCAGCUCCCUUGAGCUGAAAUUGGGUACAAAUCUUAAUCACCAAUGGUGUGUUCGGCUUAGGUACUCUUGCUUAACUGGAAGCAACUGUACCCUUAGUAAGCAGUCAAGAGGAUCUUUCUUUAAAUGUUAUUAAAUUACAAAUCAUGGUAACUAGAUUAUCUUGCGAGAUAUAUUGAAAACAAUGGAAUUAUCCAAUCAUUUUGCCUUCAAGUUAAGAGUUAUUUCAUGCUUGUCUGUGUCAUGAUUCAUGCUCUGGUUUUUAUGCGUAAGUUGGCAUUUCUACUUUCUUAAAAGCUUGCAAUUUUAUUAACCGGUACAGUUGGUUUGCUAGGUCUCUGGUUUUGAGGAAGUGUAGAAUGGCAAAUAGGAAUCCUUGGGCUAUGACCUGUUUUAGAUUUGAUUAUUUAGGGCGCAACUUUCCCUUAAAUUUCAAUCCUGUAUUGCGCUGCAUAAUUUUGUACACUUCUAAGCUGAAAUUAUAUCAUUUGAGUCAGAAAAUCCAAAUAUCAUUGAGCAAGUCAUUUACUUCGUAGUCUCCAUCAAAUGAACUAGAGCUUCUAAAAUGAGUUGGUAACCUAGGGCUUUGGAGUUGGCAGUUGCUUCAUUCUGUUUAUAUCUGCAAUAAAUUCUAUGUGCCAGAACAAACUAAUGUUGUUGUGACUCAAAAUGCCAAGUAAAAUAGCUAGACCUUAUGCCUCAAAUUUCUGAUGCCAAACAGUUUUGCAAUUUUUUCAGAUGCAGCUAGUAGCUUUAUGGGUGCAUCAUUGCCAAGGGAUUUUGCAAAGACGAAAAGAUUAGUCAAGAUAAGUGUAAAAGUGACUGCAGCUGCUACUGUUACAAAAAAUCCUAUGGAACAAAUUAAAGAGUAUGGACUUUAGUUUCCUUCUAUUUUUGCUGUUUCAUUAAGCUUAAAGUGUUCUGGCUUUGGAGUUUUCUUUGAAAAGAAUUGUUGAGUUGGGUUUUUGCAUUUUAAGGAAUAAUAUCUUCUUUGGGAGUGGAAAAUUGGAGGAAUUCACCCUCUACAUGUUUCUACGUGCAGCAUGCUGAAGUUAUAUGUAUCUCAAGUUCUAAACUGCAAUGUGGUGUUGUUUGAAAUUUUUUAAUCAUUCAAACAGAAUAAUCUGAAGAUUCCUGCCCAACAGGUAUGCACUCCCUUCGUGGGCUAUGUUCGAACUGGGGAGGGCUCCGGUAUAUUGGAAAACCAUGAAUGGUCUUCCUCCAACUUCUGUGAGUGCAGCAUUGCUGGUUUUAUUAUUAUUAUUUUUGCUUUAUGUUGCUUGAAAGCAAGGGCAGGCUGUUGGCUGUUGCAACUCUUUUCUAUAGAGAUUGUCUUUUUUGACAGGGAAAGAAGGUGAAGCUUUUCUACAAUCCAGCUGCAACUAAACUUGUUCCAAAUGAAGAAUAUGGCAUUGCUUUCAAUGGUAAUUUGUGCUCAUGCACUCUUAGCUUUAAUAAUAUAAUUAACCAAAUUGGUUUCUGUAGAUUUCAAUAUAUAAAAGUCUGUACAAAUAAGAAGUACUACCUGUGAAAGGACUCUAGUUAUAUUAUAGACUGUAACACUAUGGCUUCUGUUAUGUCCUAAAAGUAUAAAACAAAUUUAUUCAUAAAAUGAAGUAUUUAAUAGGCUUGUUGUUACCAGUAUUACCAAGGUUAUUUAAUAAAUUAAGCAGUUUUUCUUCAUUUGGUUCUAUAGCAACACUCAGAAAUUUGGUUCUUGACAUUAUUACAGAAAAUAGGAACAUUUUGAUUUUCUUCUGCAUUAUCAGGAGAUUGCCAUCAAAAACGGCAAAAAGAAAAGAAAAUGAAAGUAGGGGGGAUAGAAUAACUUGUAAUCAUUUCAAAUACCUCACAGUUGAAUGACCUUGGUUCAUGGCAUGACUCAAAUGGAUCUUUGAUAAUUUCCACAAUUUGUUUUCCAUAGCUCAGCUACCAUUGGUUAAGUGAGUGGUGCCUGUAGUUCUUUCUUCAGUGGUUUAUCUAGGGGUUCUAGUAUUUGAUUCAUUGUUGGGUCGACUAUAGGUUUUGUAUGCAAGUAGAUAAUUGAAGUCCUUGGCUAACAACUUACUCAACUGUAACUCUGCAGGAGGUUUCAAUCAGCCUAUCAUGUGUGGUGGUGAACCGAGAGCAAUGCUGAGGAAAUCUCGAGGCAAGGCUGAUAGUCCAAUAUACACCAUCCAGAUAUGCGUUCCUAAGCAUGGUUUGUAACAUUCACAAAUUUUUUUCUCUUGGACAGUUCAACUCUCUCCUCAACUCCUAAAAUCUACUUUUACUUUGGCAGCUGUGAACUUGAUCUUCUCAUUCACAAAUGGAGCCAAUUGGGAUGGUCCUUACAGACUACAGUUUCAAGUUCCGAAGUCUUGGCAAAACAGAGCAAUUGAAUUCUUUAACCAGGUAAAUUUAUGCAUACUUGGGCUCUAUGAUUCUUCUGCCUCUAGGUUGAAGAUAAUUGUCCUGUGCUAUGAACACAUAUUACAUUUCGCAUUCGUGAUUGUCAUACCUGUAACUAUUUGGAAGUGAAGCAAAAUUUGGCAAGCCAUGCAUUACGAAAAAAAUGUUUCUUCUAUGUUGCUGGCAGGGGGUAGGGAAGGUGGAUCUGGAAAGUAAAUUUGAAGAAUUCAUUUUUUAUUUUGACCUAAACUAGAGAACUCAUUGCCAAACCAUGCAAUAUUGUGAAUUUCUCUGUUUCAUUUUACACUUGAGUUAAUUUCUAUUUGGAAUGAUUGAAUUGGUUCAGACUAGACAAGUGAGAGAAUAAUGUAACCUGAGACAUGUGAAAUCUUGUAUCACUGUGGCAGGGGCUGGCAGAGGAGUUGAGUCAAGAAGGUGCAUGUGACAGGGCAAUCUUUCCAGACACAAAUAUUGUUGUUGAUAGAUGUGUUAUGAUCGGGAACUUAUCCAAAGAAGGAGUAAAUAAACUUCUUAUCUGUGUUCUUCUUUAUUCUACAUCUUCAUUUCGUUAUUCUGCAUCUAAUUGCUAGCAUCAACUUUAUGUAUGAACUCUACAAUGGAACACUCUUGCAGGGUGAUCGUUGCAGCCUUGAUCUAGUUCCUGGAUGCAUGGAUCCUAACUCCUACUUAUACAACCCUCUCGCUAAUGUAGAUGACGGGUCAUGCCUAAUUGACUCUGAUUCUGAGGACUAGUGUCAGCCAGCCGCAUCUCAUUCACUCAUCUCAUAUCAUUUAAUACAAUCAUUUGGCGGAGGUCUAGAGUUACCAUGGCAGACUAUUUGCCGAAUGACUCCCUGCUCUUAACCGCUAGUCCUAUAGGGCAUUUGCCCUGCCUGUGACUUCUCAAGAAAUUCGAAUAUAAAGCUGCAAAUAUUCAUAUGAAUGAGGUACAGGAUAAUUAUAUUACAAAUUGGCUAUCAUCUCCACCCUGACAUUAGUUGCAGUAUAUCGUAACAGUUGUGACGAUUGAAAUGAGACAAUUCUUGUAUAGAAUGUAGCAUAAGGCAUAUAUCCUUAAAAUAAGUUCACCGCAUGAUUCCACUGAGUUUGACUUGCUUGGUGGCAAGGAUCUUUAGAGCUUUCUUUUUUAUGCUUAAGUAGGGUUUGGAGUUGGGAUUACAAUUAGAUAACAAUAUUUUAUUGACAGUUUGAUAAUAUCAGAAUGUAGAUUAGAAACCCUGCAGAAUCUUACUAAAAUUUGCUUGACAAUAAACCCUUACUAAAACGGCAGCAUCCAUACCCUUUGCCUUAACAUGAAGGCAAGGCCUCAUUUGACUAGUUGCAUAAUUCUUGCCAUCCAGAGAAAUUUAUGCUAACAGAUUGGCAUCCAGGAUAAUUGUAAAAAAAUUAAGUUUGGUCAAUGGUAAUUAUCUCUCCAACUGAAAAUAUCAUAUCUCUGUCAAGUCUACCUAAUGAAAAAGGACAGACAGAGGAAUAGGAUAUCCAUGACAAUGAUUAAAGAUGGAAAGCAAUGUUAAAUGUGCUGAAAGCUCAUCAGCUUGGUUUUAAUUAGGACCAUCAAACGCCCCUGUUCAGCAGCUAGAGGACAUAGAUAAUAAAUCUUUCUGGCAACGCAUAAUGAAAAAGAUGUACAACUAAACUAUUAGCUAUGCAUCAAUAUCAAACUGGUCCAGUUCUACCCAGGUUUCUGGGUCAAGGCCCUGCCAAACUUCAAAGACAAGUGAAAGCGCAAAGGCUUUGCAUGCCAUGAAAACUGGUCCUGUGAUUCUUGUAAUAUGACACGAUUUGACCUGUCAAAAAACCAUUGACAGAAUGGUCGUAGGACGAAAGUUCUUUUAUGAAUUCAACUUCUAGAACAGGACAAAGAAAGUAGUACAAAACACAUCCUAGGCUCUAACUUUAACAUGCUUAUCCUAUGCCAAAAAGAAUAUUGACAAAUGUGAAAUGACUGCAAGCAAGCAAUGUAAGCACCCCAAGAAAACAGAGGCCACAUCGAAAAAAAAAACACAAGGAUUAGAACAUUGACACCCCAUUUUAACUUGUUUUCUAAACUACCAUUCCCCUUUUGCUUUUUCCCCUUUGAGCAGCAAUUUACAUUGUCUUCUUCAAAUUUGACGUUGCCAUUUGAGCAAUUCUUCUUAUCUUAACAAGCCCUCUUUCAUGGUACCAGAAACAAGUGGACAUUUUCUCUUGCUGUCUUCGUACUUGCCAGCAAGGGAAUCGAAUAGGAUUCCAGCACCAACACCAACAGCCAAAUCAAUGGUGUGACAACCCCUGGUACCUAGCAACCUCACAGCUUGAAGCACAUUCAAUGUAUCAAAUAACCAUGCCAAUUCCCAUCUACGCAUUCGCCUCAUUUCGAACGACGCAAUCACAGAUCCAGCAACAUGGCCCGAGAAGAAUAGGAAGAACGAUACAUUCCCUACUGGAAAAUCCACUCCUGAACCUACAAAUUCCUGUCAUUCCAUGAUUGAAUCAGCUGAUCAAACCCAAUAACCAACCAGAGUUAAGAAAAAGGGAUUACGACUACCCUGUUCCUGACAACUAUAGACAAAGACAAAGAUACCAUUGACAGUGUUGUUCAUUAUCUUCAGAAAUCAAUCAAACAUGAUCAUACCAAUUUUAUGGAAAUGAAAUCAAACAAUUCAAAUCAGGGAAGGAUAAGUUUUCAAAUGUUAAGAACCUGGGGUAAUGGGAGCUGCGUGGAGUAACCAAGAAUCCCACGACAAGUAAACAUGAACAAAGCAGAUAUUGUAGCCCUUGGCCGACACUCGAUUAGCCAUGUCCAUAGUAUAUAAACUGUCUGCACCCCUACAAACACCUCACCCCAAAACAUAUGUAUCCAAAGAUCAGAUCAUGCUUUUUGCUGUAAUCAAACUUUCUUAGAGAAAAGUUAGAAACCAUUCAAAGUUAUAUUAUAUAUUGACAUGUUAAAAAAGCUCUUAUGACACUUUUCAAUUUUUACCUAUACCUUAUGUCAAUGCCACACGAAAUAUAAAAUAUAAAUAAUAAUUUAAUUAAUAAUAAUUAAUAAAUUGGUAGUAAUAACAAAUUAUUUAAUUUAAAAUAAAAAUAUAAAAAUUUAACUAAUUGUAAUAAAAAAAUGACUUAUUUAAAUUUUUAAAAUAAUUUAAAGAUUUUUUUAAAUAUUAUAUUUCAAUAUAAUAAUUCUUAAUCUGAUACAUUUUUAAUUAAUUGCAUUUGAAGAAUGCAUAAGGGACUCAUAAAGGUAGAUCUAUAAGAUCUCCAUGUGUGGAAUCAAUUUUUUUUGCCUCUUUGUUUUUACUAAUAAAUACAUUGUGAUGAAAAAAAAAGCAAAAAGAAAUCAAUGAAAAUAUACUUGAAAAAGUUCAUGCAAUUUAUUCUUGAGGAAACAAUACUCAUGUUCUAAGAGCUCCAAAGCUCUCAGGCACCUUCAUUUGACAUGCUAAAACAUCUCUUUAGCCAUAUCUUAAAGUGGGUAAUGAGGUUGUUUCUGAUUAAAAAUAAAAUAGUGAAAGGAAACGGUAAACUUGGAAGUUGGAAAUGGAGUAGUAUAAAUGUUUUGACAUUAAAAAAAGGGGAUUUUUUUUUAUCUUUUAAAAAUAACGUGCUUUUGUAAAUAACCCUCAUGAUAAUUUUAACUGUUUUUAGCAAAAAGAAUAGAUUUUGGGACAAAAAUGCUCUUAAUGAGCCAUCUUCGUUAGCGUGCAUUAUCAAAUAGGUGGAAAAUAGGAAAAAAAAUAAAUUUGCAAAGAUUGGUUGUGCAAAAUACCUUUUUUUUUUUGCGAAGGUUGUGCAAAACAAAAUAAUGUUGCAUGAGAUGGGUUUUCAGAUAUUUGGGACAUGACAUUCAGAUAAUAGAAGAAGAGAGAUAUUAAAUCGAACGAGGAACCAGUCGUCAUGAAUGGAAAGCUUAGCUAAUGAUGUGAAACCAGAAAUCCUUGAUACGGUAGUGAAUUGAAAGGAGAAAGAUGUGAAUCCAAAGCAGGAAAUGGUCUUGCUAUAGCAAGCCAUAUGUGAGACAGUUGUCGCAGGGCAGGGUUUAGAGUUUGUGAAACGUCAUGUUGGGAAUGUGUGACACGGCACCGCUCAGAGUUGGUGAGACGCCAGAGUUAAGAGUUGGUGACACGUCAUGGUGAGAAUCUGUGACACGCCAACGUUCAGAGUUGGUGAGACGCCAUGGAGGGAAUCUGUGACACGCCAGAGUUAAGAGUUGGUGACACGACAUAGAGGGAAUCUGUGACACGCCAACGUUUAGAGUUUGUGAGACGCUAUGGAGGGAAUCUGUGACACGUCAAAGUUAAGAGUUGGUGACACGCUAUGGAGGGAAUCUGUGACAUGCCGGCAUUCAGAGUUCGUGAGAGGCCAUGGAGGGAAUCUGUGACAUGCCAGAGUUUAGAGUUGGUGACACGCCAUGGAGGGAAGCUGUGAUACUCUAGAGUUAAGAGUUGGUGACACACCAUGGUCAUGGUUUAAAGUGUGUGACACGGCAUUGCUUGAAAAGUUGACACGCCAUGGUCAUGGUUUAGAGUGUGUGACACGAUAGUGCUUGAGCAGCUGACACAUCAUGGUUUGAAAUAGAGAGAGGAAAAAAAAGAGGGCAGUUAACGUGGUAAUCGUUUAGACUUUCACUGAAUUAAUUCCCUUUUUUCAGAAUCAAUAAGAAUAUUAAAAGGCCAUUUUUCAUUUUAAACAAUUAUUAUUCAGAAUUCAUAACGUCUAUGUGAUUCAUUUCUCAUUCCAGCCGGUACCAGAGUGUUCGAAAAGGCUAUUUGAAAGCGUAAUGACACCACAGCACCAGCAACAAUGUCAACCAUGAAUGAAGAGGUCAAUGAGUCUCAAAUUAAAACAUUCUUGUGUUCGUUAAUUUUUUGGUUUUUCCUAGGUUUGUUUGAUAUGUUCGGGUUUUUUGUUUUGUUUUGCAAAUGUUUAGACUGUAUUUUCUUACUGGUUUGAUGGUUGUUGGGGUUAAGUCGUAGUGAUUUUAGGGGUUUUGGGUGUUUACCGUGUGAUGCCAUUGUUAUUAUAGUUAGUUAUUGACGCGUCAGCUUUAUAUGAUUUGAUUUGAUAUGCAUGGCAUGUGACAACAUUUUACUUGAUAUGCAUGGCGUGUCACAACAUUUUACUUGUUAUGCAUGGCGUGUGACAGCAUUUUACUUUAUAUGCAUGGCGUGUAACAACAUUUUACUUGUUAUGCAUGGCGUGUGACAGCAUUUUAUUUUAUAUGCAUGGCGUGUGACAGUAUUUUACUUGUUAUGCAUGGCGUGUCACAACGUUUAACUUGUUAUGCAUGAUGUGUCACAACAUUUUACUUGUUAUUCAUGACGUGUCACAACAUUUUACUUGUUAUGCAUGGUGUGUCACAAUAUUUUGCUUGCUAUGCAUGGCGUGUCACAACUUUUAUUCCUUAUUGCACAUGACGGCUUAACUCAUUGAUGCAUGUGUGCCAUGUUUUGUAGAUCCAGCGUAGAUAGUAUGAGGAUCUUGACAGUUUGCUAAUUGUGCCAAGGGAGAAGUGGGCGUUCAACGUUGCAAUUAACACCCACUGUAAGUGGUCGCAACUGCAUUACAUCACAAAGACUCUCCAACAGAAGGAGGAGUACGAUGCAGUUAAGCGUACCUGCUUCGAAAUGCUCCUAGACGUCUAUCCACAUGGGUACUUUUGUGCCGGUCUCCUGCACAGCAUCAUGAUUCAUCGGAUCAGUGAGAGCCAGUCAAUGGACCACGAGCUAUGGUUUGCCAUUGGCAAGAGCAAGGCGCGGCUAUCAAAGCAGGAGUUUUGCCUCAUCACCGGGGUUGAAGUUUGGUCCAAUGCCUGAUGUGUUCAAACGACCGUACGAGGUUGCUGUGGCAAGAAUUCAUGAUAGAUACUGGAACGGGCAGGAAAACAUUAAGCUGCAGGCUUUGCUUGAUACUUUCCGUGGGGGCAACUUCCAACGACCAAGAGACGCGACCAAGAUGGCACUCGUCUUGAUCGCGAAUAACAUUUUAUUUGGUCAAGACUACCGUAGACGGGUAGCACCUUGGUUGCUAUCAUUGGUGGAGGACAUCGACGAUUGGAAUGUCUUCCUAUGGGGGCACUAUUGUUGGAAGCUGACCUUGGACUACCUUUUGAAAGGGUUCGAAGUACCUGACUCAAGUGUGACAAAGGAAACUCGGUUACGCUACAACAUUUACGGAUUCGCAUGGGUGAUACAGGUACUAUCACUUAACAUUUUUCAGUUUCCUUUUGAAAAAAAAAUUUAUGGGUGCACUCGUUUAUGAUUUACGGUCUAAUAAUGAUUACAUUUGACAUGCAGUUUUGGGUAAUGGAGGUAAUUUCGGUCCUCCUAAAAAUAGUUGCCCCCUCUGGUCCAAAGAAAAACGUCUACCCAUGAAUGUGAAGAUGAGAUUGCAAUCAGAAGUCAAAAGACUUCUACAAUGCAAUUCAGAAGUUAGAGUCAUCUGACCAUAUGAGUGAACAGCUGCUAAUUUUUACGUUAUAUUUGUAUAAUAAUUUUCUCUAUUCAAUAAUGAUUUUAUUUGUUUAUUUGCAGUUGUGGGCAUUGGAGACGUUGUAACCCACCGCGGAUGAGGCCUUCCGGGAGUAUUUUGUGGACCUUGAUGUCUCGUUAUCGGAGGGCCACGAGUACGUGCUAAUAGGGCACAUGGAGGAUCGGUCGAAUUUAGGCUUAGGUGCGAGGCAGAAAAGGAGAAGCUUGAAGGAGAAAAGAGCUUCUAGUGGCACGAAGCGGAUGCACACCGCCGCUGCUUUAAUUGAUGAGCUGUCGGGCCCUGAGUUGAUGGACGAAGGGGACGACCAUGGUCAAGGCAGUGAACAGCCGAUAAGGACAAUUGUAAUGAUUUUGUGUUCUCCAAUUCCAUAUGUGAUUAUUGAAUAACAUUUCCGUGUUUGCAGUUGGACCAUGCACCGGCAGCUCCAGAACCACUCAUCGAUCCUCCUCAAACACAUAAAUGCCUCUAUGACAUCGUUUACCUUAGCUCAAACCACCUUUCAAAAUUCAAUUACUUCAGUUGUUUUCCACCAGCCUUCAAUAGUUUAUUUUUCAUAUUAAAAAUCACUUUCUAACAGUCCCCCAUGAUUUGAAAUCUGGUGCACUCCAAGAAGAGUUUUGAGCAUUUCAAAUCUCUCCCUGGAUAAACCUUUGGUUAAUAUAUCAGCUACUGAACCUCUGUAGUGCAAUGCUUGAGUUCAACCUCUUUUUCAUUCACUGCCUCUCCAAGAGCAUGAUAUUUUACCUUGAUAUGCUUGGUUCUCCCAUGAUGAAUUAGAUUUUUGGCUAUUGCAAUGGCAGAAAGAUUAUCAACAAAAAUCAUGGUGCUCUUAUCUUGUUUGAAACCAAGAUCAUUAAGAAUUUUCCUCAACCACUUCAACUAAUUUACAGCUGCUGUAGUUGCUAUGUACUCAGCUUUUGCAGUACACUGUGCAACAAUACUUUGCUUCGUUGAAUUCUAUGAGAAAAUUGCACUAUUGAAAGAAAAACAGAACCCAGUUGUGCUCUUAGAAUCAUCAAGUGACCCUGCCCAGUCACUAUCACUAUAUCCAACUAAAUCCCCACUCUCUUGUUUCAUAAACCUCAGGCCAAAAUCAGCAGUUAUUUUAAUAUACUUGAGGAUUUUUUUGGCAGCUUUAAAAUGUAACUGUGUAGGAGCUUACAUGAAUCUGGACAAUAAACAUGUAGCACACAUCAAAUCUAGCCUAGUUACUGCCAAAUACAACAAUGAACCUAUUAGACUUCUGUAAAUUGAAUCAUCAAUAGCUGCAGAACCAUCUUCUUUACAAAACUUAUUUCCAAAAGCUAGAAGAGUUGCUACAACCUUACAAGCAGACAUGUUGAAUUUCUUUAACAGAUCCUUGGCAUACUUAGUCUGAUGUAACCACACUUCUUCACCAGUUUGUAGAAUCUCCAUGCCUAAGAAAUAAGUCAUUAACCCUAGGUCUAUCAUUACAAACUCUUACAUCAUCUGGCUUUUAAACUCAAUCAAUGAAUCACCAUCAGGUCCAAUGAUUAGUAAGUCAUCCACAUAUACUGCAACAAUUAACAUUGCAGUAUUUUCAAGUAUCUUCACAUACAAAGUCGACUCAUUUGUGCUUUUUAGUAGACCUUGACUGGAAAAAUAAGCAUCUUCCUUGUCAUACUAGGCCCUGAGUACCUGUUUUAAGCCAUACGAUGCCUUAACCAGUUUACAAACCUUGUCCUCUGCCCCUGGUUCAACAUACCCUUCAAGGUGCUCCACAAAGACAUCUUCAGACAGAUUACCAUUUAGAAAAGCAGCAUUUACAUCCAAAUGGUAUAUCUUCCACCUUUCUUUAGUAGCUAAUGCAGCAAGCAUCCUAAUUGUGUCAUAUCUGGCAACCGGUGCAAAAGUUUCCAAAUAAUCAACUCCAUAAGUCUAAGCAUAACCAUUGACCACCAAUUUGGCUUUUAUAUUUGUUUAUUGAGCCAUCAGAAUUUAGCUUAGUUCUAAAUAUCCAUUUGACUCCUAUUAUCUUGUGAUAUGUAGGUCUGUCUACAAGUAACCAGGUAUUAUUUUUCUUUAUCAUGGAGAUCUCAGCAUCCAUAGCCUUUCUCCAGUUUUCAUCCACAACUGCUUCAGAAUAAGUGACAGGAUCAACAGUAGCAAGAUUACAUUUGCUGUAUAUAUCUUCCAAUGUCUUUGACCCUCUUACAGCUUUACUUUCAUCUUCAAUAUCAGAAUCAUCACUUUCCAACAUAAGUUGAUGAUUAUCCAAAUCUUGACUACCAGGAACAGGUUCUACAAUCUUUUUUUUCCAGUUCCAGAAAUGACUUUUAUUAAAGACCACAUCCCUACUUAUAACCACUUUGUUUGCAUCUAAAUCAUAUAGUCUAUAUCCUUUGGAUUUGUCACUAUAGCCAAUAUGCACAGCAAUAAAAGCUUUAACAUCAAAUUUUGAUCUCUUCACAUAAGGAAUUCAAGCAUAGCACAUACAGCUAAAGACUUUAAAAUGAAAGACAGAGGGUUUUUGUUCAUACUGGAUCUCAAAAGGAGUUUUGAACACCAAUUCUUUAAUGAUGUUUCUAUUUUGAAUGUAGUUGGUAGUGUUAACUGCCUCAACCCAAAAUUUCAUAGGGAGAUUACACUGUAAUAAUAAACACCUUGCCAUUUCAGCAACUGUUCUGUUUUUCUUUUCAGCCUUACCAUUCUGCUGUGGACUAUAAGCAACUGUUAAUUGAUGGUGAAUCCCAGCAGUUGACAAAAGCUUCUCAAAUUCAUUUGAAGUGUAUUCAGCUCCAUUAUCGGUCCUUAACACCUUGAUGCUUAGGCUAGCAAAGUUCUCAACUUGUGCUUUGAACUCAGAAAAACUCCUUAUAGCUUCUGAUUUAUUCUUCAAGAAGUAAAUCCAACAGUAAUUAGAGAAAUCAUCAAUAAACAGGAUAUAAUUCCUGCUUCCACUCAGUGAGGGAUUCUUCAUAAGACCACUCAAGUCAGUAUGAACUAGCUCCAACUUCUUUGUAACUCUCCAACUACUUUCCUUAGGAAAAGGUUUCCUGGUCUGCUUCCCAAGCUAAUAGACAUCACACAACUUCUCUGGUUUAACAAUGUUAGGUAGACCUAUUACAAGGUCUUUUGAAGUCAUUGUUGUCAGUGAAUUAUAAUUCACAUGACCAACUUGUUUAUGCCACAAUUCAGAUAAAUCUUUCUCAGCAUAGAGAGCUAGUUGUUUACUUUCAGACAAUUUCAUAGGAUAACAUUUAUUCUUCAUGCUCACAGUUAAUAAUUCAACACCAGCAGGAUCGAAUAUUGUGCAUUGCCUAUCUUUAAACAAUAAGGCAUAACCAUUAUCAUCUAAUUGACCUACACUAAGUAGAUUCUGAUCAGCUUCAGGCACAUAAUGCACAUCAUGAACAAACCUCAUACCAGAUGCAGUUUUUACUCCUAUGGUGCCUACUCCAAGUAUCUUCAUGUAUAGACCAUUACCUAUUUUCACACAAGCCCUAUAACUUUUAUCAAGCUCAGUGAAAAGAUUAACAUUACUUGUCAAGUGGUUUGAGCAGCCACUGUCAAUCAACCGGGUGCUCUUCUCAUCAAUCUCAUCAUUUGCCUUAGCCAUAAACAAUACCUCCUCAAAUUCAUCUUUUUCUUCAACCACUGCAGCCUUGCCUUCAACUUCUUGUUUCUUCGCUUUACACACUUUCUCCACAUGUCCAAGUUGCUGGCAAGAUCGACACCUCACAUGAGGUCUAUACCAACAGUACUUUGGAGUAUGAUUAGUCUUUUUACAGUGAGUACAGGGAGGAAAUUUAUCAUGACUCUUCCCUUGUUUUGCAGAUCCAGACUUAGUGCCUUUAGCACUAUUCUUCUUAGAACUUUCAGAUUUAGCUUUCAAACCCUUAGUUUUAGCUACUAAGGCAUUCUCAACAGAGUCUUCAUCCUUGAGGGCUUUUCUCUACUCAAAAGCCAAUAUAGUAGAGAUCAAUUCCUUUGAAUCCUCAAGUGAUGUCACUUUUGAUUCAAACUUGUCUGACAUACUCACCAAAAUUUUGUUGACCAUCCUUUGAUCAGUGACUUCUUGUCCCAACAUUCUGAGCUGAUUCACCAGCUUCAACAUCUUAUCCAUAUACUCUUGAAUACCCUCAUUUUCCUUCAUCUUCAUCACCUCAAACUGUUUCAAUAAAUUCAUAAUCUGUAUCACCCUUGUUUUGUCAUUGCCUUAAUAUUCUUCUCUGAUGUUAUCUCAUACUUGCUUAGGAUCCUCCAAAUGCAUAAUCUUGACAAAGAUUGACUCUGACACAGUUGACUGCAGGCUAAUCAAAGCCUUGUAUCUCUUUGCAACUUCCCCCGAGUGUUGCUUAAUCUGAGCUAAAGUCGGAUUAGCAUGCCUUUGAAUAGGCAUCUCACUAGACUCCACCACAUCCCAUGGGUCGAAUGCCUUAAGAUAUGAUCUCAUCUUCACUGCCCAGAAAGGAUAAUUAACACCAAUGAAUACAAGAGGUGCAGUUGCACUAAUUCCAACUAUUGCCAUAUAGAAAUUGAAGAUGAUACGAUCAAAAGCAAAAUGUUACAGGUCCCUUGAGAAAAAACACUCUGAUACCAUGUAAAAGAACUCGAUUUUCACUGACAGAGGCUAAAUAAGAAAAUGAAAAAGAAAGAGAAGAAUAGAGUAUCAGCUUAGAAGUAAAAUGAGAAUUUCAUUGAUCAAGAAGAUAUAUAAAAAACAACGGCUACAAGCAAAUAUAUUCACUACUAAGAGCUGUUCCUUAGAUGUAGCCUUGAAAAACCUAACAAAAUCGGAUCGAAGCACAGAAAACGGAAGGAGAGCUUUCUAUUGCUCUAACAGUCAAAAAACAAAGAACAAAGAAAAUAACAACCAAAUGACCAUUCGACUAACAAAAACGACACUCAUGAAGAACGUUUUACAAGAAAAAUUAAAAGACUAGUGAAACGACACUAAUGGUCAUCGUUUCACAAACUUAAAACACUUAAAUGCCUUUACGACAUUGUUUUACGUAGCUCAAACCACCUUUCAAAAUUCAUUUACUUCAGGUGCUUUCCAUAAGCUUUCAGUAGUUGAUUUUUUAGAUUAAAGAUCACUUUCCAACAAAUUCUUCUUUGUUUCCUUUUUGUUGGGUUUCACUCUUUCCAGGGUUUAAGGUUUUGAGUUCUUUUGCUUUCUAGUGGGAAGCUCACACGCCUCACGGUUCACAACUAUUUAAAGCGUGAGAGUUUAGCUUGGGCCCUAAACUCAUACAAUACAACGGUAAAUAUUAAAAAAAAACACUAGCCAAUACGUUCAAAUAUUUUAAACAGCUAAAAUAUUCUACUCCUAAACAUAGAGCGUGGACUUACCCACAACCCUAUUUGGUGGAGCUAAGGUAUAAAAAUAAUUCACAAGUACUUAUAGGCAAAGGAUAAAGUUGUUAGAAUACAGAAAAUAUUAGGAAAUGGUUUGAAGGGGUGUAUUUAUCUCAUUUUCUUAAAAUUUUUAUUCGGAUUCAUUAUUGGUGUGCAAAAGAGUUUUUUAGGAUAAACUUUAAAUACACAAUAAGUUCAGUCAUUGACUACAUUUUGUAUGGACAAAAUUAAUUCGCUGAACAUUUAUUAAUAUAUGACAAGAUUAUUAAAUUUUUUAUAGAAUUUUUCUAUAGCAAAACAAUAUAGAAGCAAUUCAAAAGAAUUUGAAGGAGAAAGUGAUUGUAAGUUGUUUCUUUGUUGAUAUAAUUUCAUAAAAACCAACAAAUUUUAUUUAUAAACAAAUUUAUGUCUCUUUGUUCAAAGUUAAUCAACCCUUUGAACAAAUAUAGUUGUUUGAGCAAAUACAACUAUUCAACCAAAUCAGGGAGACUGCAUUAAUUAUGUCAUUUUUCUAUAAAUGUUACGUUAACUUAUAUUAAUCUAGGGUGAGCAACAUUGUAAGGUUAUCAUGGAUCGUGGUGGACCAAUGGGUUUGGAUCGAUUUUAAGGUGAUCUUGUGACUUAACGAGUGAUCCAUGAUUCAAAUUUUGUAUGGCCGACACUUUUAAGGUGGUCCAUUGUCCUAGACAUUUUAUCUAUUUACCCAAGAUUAAAAGACUAGACUUGUUCCUACGGUUUAGUCCUUCUGAAAUUGAGUCUUGAAUCAAUUCUAAACUAACAAUCAUUUAAAAAAUUAUAUAAAAAAUUAUAUAAAAAAUAAGAUAAAUAUUUAGAAAUUAUAAGACUUGAACUCAUAAUAAGAAAGAUGCUGUUUUAAAAGAUCUUAACCAUAUUAAGUUAAAGAGUUACAUAAUAUUAAAACAUUUAUAUCCAAUACAAACAAUAAAUGAAUAAAUAAAAAAUCUACCAACAGCACCAAACAAAAUGUAAGACUUUUAAAGUAUUGUAACUUAAAAAUAAAUGUGACCUAUAGCGCGGAUAUGUAUGAAUUUUUCUUAUAGUAUUUAUGAAUUUGAUAUACUAUUUGAGUGUAAUAUUAUUAUUUUUUAAAUAAUUAUAAGAAUUCUUAAUCGUAUCAAAUCAUAAGCUUAAUCAUAGAGUUAACCUUACAAAAAUAUGACCUAAUCCACGAUUAAAAUUUUUUAAAACUGAUCUUAUACAAGUGAUGUAUAAUCAUGACUUUAAAAAAAUCCACCUAAACCAUGCAGUAGCGAAGGGAAUGGGCCGUUAGUAGGGUUCCCGUCUCACAAAAGUUUUAAAAUUUCAUAAUUUACCUUUUGAUUUUUUUAGAAUUUUAUCCUUACAAUAAUUUUUUUGUUUAGUGAAAUGCUUUAUAGUAAUUAGUCAACAAUUAAUUUUAAUAGACUUAAAGAUUAAAUAAAAUCUAUUGUAGAAGAAUUAUUCCCUAAGCCACAUUGUUCUAAGAACUUAGGAUCAACUUAGCUCUUGUCUGUCCCUUCAAACACGAAAUUCUUGCUCCGUCACUAAAAAAUGCUCACCUCUAAAUUAUUAGAAGACAAAGACAACCAUUUUCCUAAUUUCAAUAAUAAUGAGUGAAAUGAAAUUGCAACUAGACAUGUAGUGGUACCUUGGGUAUGGGGUGUGAGGUCUACAUGGAGUAAGAGAGAGUGAGUAAAGGCAUGGGGGUGAAAGAGAGGGUGUGCAAAGUGGGUCCAAAUCAAGGCAUGGAGGAAAUAGCCAGGAUUUGAGUCAAAUUAUCAAAGCACAAAAAUAUAGGUGUGAUUUUCUUCACUUUGCAUUAUUGGGCCAUCAAUAUGAGCUUGUUUCAUUAUGAUUUUUGUUGAUUCUCUCAUUUAGUAUCUACUCCUCCUCCUAAGUAAUGACAGGAGUCAAUACUGUAUAAUUAUCAUUUUGGAAGCAAAUUCUUCUGAUAUCAUGGAACUGUUUUAACUUUUAAAUCAAGCAACUUGAAUUGAAUGGCAUCACUUUUUAAGACAGCAGAUAACAUUCCCUUCCCUCCAGGCUCCAACAUUCAGACCAGUUAAUAGCUUAUAUAUAUAUAAUAUUAAUUUGAUGUAGUUGCCAACGUUGACAUAUCUAUAUAUUGAAAUCAAUAUUGUAAAUUAUAAUAUCCUUAACACUGAUGGAGUAAUUAUGCCAACUAUGGAAUUCUUAAAUUCUACUCCAGAAAGUGGCAGGGGGCCUGCAACAAAAUACUCAGGUAGAUGAUGAGGUUUACAAUUAUUUUACAUAUUCUCCAUUGGAGAACGAAGCAUGUCAAUUUGUUUACAGGAACCACGACAUUCUCACUUGGAAAAGCAUGAUUUCUAUUGACGUAAGCAAAACCUUCAUCUCUUUCUUAUGAUGCUUCUGUUUUAUCAGAUUAAUUAUUACUAUAUAUCAGAUGCAUUUGUUUUUUCUUCUCUAUCAGCCUUUCAAACAAAAGAAACCGAUCUUUCAAAAAACCAGAUUCAAACAACCAAAAACCAAGCCACAAUUUUCUAUCAAAAAAAUCAAAGAAAACACCCUAAUCUAGCAACCACAAUUACAAUCCACAAUAAAAGAAAACCAAAAUAAAAUAUAUAUAAAAAAAUACACAUGGAGAAAGGAGAGAAACAGAGUGAGUUUGGGGGAUUUUUUGGUUUGGGUUUCUAGGAAUAGAUUUUUAUUUUUAUUUUUUGGUUUAUUGGUUGAAGCUUAAAGGAAGGAAGAGUUUAAGGAGCUAUUACCGCCGGUUUAGGAGAGAAAGAGAGGCUUGAAACGGCGUCGGAUAGGGAAAGUUAUUGGGCUUGGGUGCGUUGCCAGUAGGAAAGGAAAAAGAGGGUUACCGUCGGUCGGUUACAAAGGCAAAGGAGGGAGGCUUUGAGUGAGGAAAGAGAGCUGGUGAAAGAGCAGAGAAAAAGCGUUCAGAGAGAAAAAGGUAACUGGUAGAAGAGAAAGAGGAAGAAGAAAAAAAAUAAUAAGAAGUCAGCUUGGGAGGGCCUCUAAACGACGCUGUUCUUGAGUACCUGGGAGAGGCUGCUACCAGAGCUCCAGAUUGGAGUGUUUUGGGAAGCACGGUGGGCUAAGGACACGGGCUUGGGUGCUUACAAACAAAUCAAUUAUUUUGGGUUACUGUCUAAGCCCAAACAAGGUAAAAUCCUUUCCUUUAUUAUUUACAUGGAUAUAUUGCCUAGCCCAAUAUUGAGUUGAGGAAUAUUAAAAGUUAAAAAUAAUUAUAAAUAGNNNNNNNNNNNNNNNNNNNNNNNNNNNNNNNNNNNNNNNNNNNNNNNNNNNNNNNNNNNNNNNNNNNNNNNNNNNNNNNNNNNNNNNNNNNNNNNNNNNNNNNNNNNNNNNNNNNNNNNNNNNNNNNNNNNNNNNNNNNNNNNNNNNNNNNNNNNNNNNNNNNNNNNNNNNNNNNNNNNNNNNNNNNNNNNNNNNNNNNNNNNNNNNNNNNNNNNNNNNNNNNNNNNNNNNNNNNNNNNNNNNNNNNNNNNNNNNNNNNNNNNNNNNNNNNNNNNNNNNNNNNNNNNNNNNNNNNNNNNNNNNNNNNNNNNNNNNNNNNNNNNNNNNNNNNNNNNNNUAUAUAUAUAUAUAUAUAUAUAUAAACAACAUGAUACAAAUAUAAAAAUUAUGAAAAAAUGAAAUGACUAUUUGAGAGAUUUUACCUAAAAAGGGCAAAAAGUUGCUUCUUUCUGGUGGAUUUCUUAGGUACGGAGUUCGAGAUGAAUUUUCAUCGAAGUGUCAGGAUAAAUCCGAAUUCUAUACUCCGAUACCCAUUAGUCCGAACAAUUGUUAUUUAAAAUAAUAUACAUAAAAAAUAAUAUAAUAAAAAUAAAUAUAUAAAUAAGGCAAUAAAUCAUGUUAAAUUAUCAAACAUGUUAUUAUUACUAACUAACUAAUUAAUAAACGUGGUCAUGUAGAUAUUAUCAUUUUAUAUUGUCAUAGCAUGCCACGUGUAUUUUGUUAAUGGGACGAGAACUCCCAUGAUGGGAUUUCCUCGAAAGACUUUUAGAGACGAGUUUUUUUCGGGGGAUAUCCAUAGGUGAGGAAAACUUCGAGACUUCACCAAAACGUUAGGAUGGUCUACGAACGAUUUUUCAAUAAAAGACUAUUGCUCUCAUUAUUCAAAAUUGAAUAAAUCAUGACAUCGUUUUACAACUGCAUCAUGUGCAUCCGUGAAGCCGAAUAAAAGGCUCAAUCAGCUAAUGUAAUAAAAAAUUAAUUAAUAAGCAAGGAUUAAGGAAAUAUAUGAAUAAAAUCAAAAGUAGGCUACAAUAUGAUAACUUAAGAUUAAAUAGUACCAUUUGUGGAACGGACGUCACGAAUGUGCUAACCCUUCUCCGUGCGUAACCAUACUCCCUAACUCGUUUUUAAAAAUCGUAGACCAGUUCUCUUUUUUUUGAUGGAUUUAAAAUUAAUUUGGAAUUUAGUCGUUUAAAAUCGAGUUAAUAGGUGACCAAUCGUACCUUUAAAAACCGAUUGGUGACGACUCAUAAUUUGUUUUUUCACCAUGUCUAACAGUCAGAUUUUUGAACCCGCACGUUAUAACAAGCUCAACUUGGAUUAGAGGUUUAAUUUAAGUCAAUAAAGGGUACCAAGCAAGCAAGCCAAGCCAAACCCAGCCUGCUUAAUUUUCUACACAAUGGGCACCCAAAAGCAAACCAUUGCUGGGGCCUGGGCUUGCUGGGCUCAAGUUUUACCACAUGCUUCAACCCUAGCUCAACUUAAAUUGAAGUUGACAUGCCAUAGUGAAAUGUUGUAGUAUCAAAGCUUAAGAGCUGGGAAAAGAGGUAAAAAUAAUCUGUUGAUUAUAUGGACCUUUAGCUCAGGUCAAGACGAUUGAUUUCUGUAUAGAUUAUAUGUAAUUACAUCAGAAGUCGGGCCAUAUAACUAAAGAAAUGUAGUUCACAGCUAGAGUCCUGAUGGUGCGGCAGUACCAGAAGCAACAAAUGUAGUCCAUUCACCUAAAUAAGUAUCUCACCAUGGUUAAGCAAACACCUUUGAAGUCCUAAAGAUUAAAGACUAGUCUCCAAUGCGGACACCUCAGCUGCUGAAAGCCAUCCUUUUCUUCUGAACUUCAGUAGGUAGCUUAACCUCAGUUGCCAGUCCGAUAACUUGAAGAAAUUUGAUUACACACCAAGCCAUGUCCAGUUGCCACCAUUCCAGACCAUGUCUGGCUGAGUAUUUGAAAGCAUGGUGGUUAUUAUGCCAACCCUCUCCAAAUGAAAGCAAUGCCAUCCACCUGAAAAAGUUUGCAGAUAUUUUUAUCAGUAACUUCUUAAGAAAUAAACUUGACAAGAACUAGAUGUAUAUUAGUACAAGGGAAGUCAAUUGUACCAAUUGUUCCUGGACAAAUCACCAGAAUUCCAUGCUUGCUUCCCCCACACAUGGCAAGCUGAAUUUACCAGCCAAGUGAUGUGGUAAAGCCAUACAAUCCUCACACCCUGCAAUGCUCGCACGUUAAUGCCUAGGCCUCCUUAUGGUUAGUAUGCUUAUUUGUCUUCGCUAAGUAAAAGUUUCACUUUUGAAGAUUAAAAUUAUACAGAAACUACUCCAGUCCAAAGUUGUUUGAUCUUCAUUCUAGCAAAUCGAAUGUAACACAAAUGGGCUCCCCAAAAGCAAAAUUUAUCUACUUGAGGAAUCAGAAAUGAUAACCCCAGCCCCACGUUUGUUACAGGAUUAUCUUUUUCUAACAAAUUGUCCAAACUGUUAUCAUAUUAGCAUAGAUAAACAUGGCCCAGCUUAAAGAUUCAAUUAGAUAAGACUUCCAACUUGUGAUUUAGUCCCCAAGCUAGAAUCUAACAUGCUUUCUCAUUUUUCCCUUCACUUUGAGCUAGAGUACAACUUCCUAUAGCUAUGUUUUUUCCUGUCAACUUAAUGACAAAAAUAAUUUGAAAGUAGGGCCACUAGCUUGGUGGUAUGAAGUAAAUUGCAAGUGGAAGGCCCACCAAUCAAACAAAGGGUUUAUGACUCUUUAAGGAUUUUUUUCGUCCUUUUUUCUUUUUCUAGUAACGAAAAGGGAUGGCUGCAACUCAUGCAAGAGACUAUGUUGGCGGAGCUCCAUGAAAACUUUUAGCUUAAGAUAUCUCUAUGCUCUAAAAAGGAAUAUUCAAGGCAAAAUAGGCUAAUCCUCAAAACAUGGGAAAAUUGAAAAACUCGCUUACCAUUCCCCAAACAAGGAAGGGAAACCCUCCUAGAGUAUAUAGCAAAACUCCAAGUGCAAUUGGAUGAAGAAUGUAGGUACCCUCAAGAAACUUGUAGAAGGGUUGCUGCCGUAGAUCCCCAACAUUGGUUGGUUCUCCACACUGCAAAUGUUCCAUUGAUACAAAACAUUAAGAAUAUCAAUUCGUUCUGUGCAUAUGUGAGUGCUUGCAUGUUUGAGAAAGAGAGCGAUAGAGUUACCUUUUCAAUAACGGUGUUGGUAUCAAAGAGCCAGCUCAUGUGGCUGAACCAAAAUCCUUCAAUAGGGCUAUGGGGGUCUCUGUUAGAAUCACAAAAUUGGUGGUGGUACCUAUGUGUGCUUACCCAACUAAUUGGAUUCCCCUGCAAACACCAAAACCAACAAUCAUAUAACAAUCAAAUGAUACUGCCAUUUCCAUGAAAAUAUUCCUCAAAAAUUUUUAAAGCUACCAACCUGAAGUGCCUGAACUCCACAAUAAGCAAAGAAGUACUCAAGCCAUUUUGGAACCUUGAAGCUUCUAUGAGAAAGAUUCCUAUGAAAAGACAAUGUAAUCCCUAGAAGUCCUGUCACCACAUAGAGUCCCACAGCAAGCCAAAAGGCGGGCCAAUUGAAAUGAAAAGGUGCAAAAAGGCUUAGCAAAUGCAUGCUUACAAUAACACCAGCAAUGGCCAUAUCCGAAGUGUUCCAUUUUCUUCCCCAAAACGCCUUUUUCUUCCUUUGCACCACCACAUUAGAUAACAAAAUUCUACCCGAGAUUUUCCCUUCUGGGUCGGGCUCGUUUGCUUCAACUGACACCCCAUUAGCCAAUGCCAACACUUUCCUAUUGCUGUAACUCCUAUUCAAACGAGUGAUACUCGCCUGCAGAGGACUCUGCUCUCCGUUUAUUUGAUUGAAUUUUGGGUUUUGAUGGCCAAAGUUUAAGACUUUGCAAGAGCAAGAUCUGGUUUUCAUUGUUGUCGCUCUUUGAGGAGGUGAUACAUCUAAGAACUUUGGCUUUGACAAUAACGAUGUGACGAAAGCCAUUGGGUCUCAAUUGGUGGGGUUCUCAAGAAAAAAUUGGGUUUUAUA